rnacentral:rRNA from 1 species
GAGUUCUGACGGUACCUGAGGAAUAAGCAUCGGCUAACUCCGUGCCAGCAGCCGCGGUAAUACGGAGGAUGCAAGCGUUAUCCGGAAUUAUUGGGCGUAAAGCGUCCGCAGGUGGCAUUUCCAGUCUGCUGUCAAAGACCAAGGCUCAACCUUGGGCAGGCAGUGGAAACUGAAAAGCUAGAGUGCGGUAGGGGUAGGGGGAAUUCCCAGUGUAGCGGUGAAAUGCGUAAAGAUUGGGAAGAACACCGGUGGCGAAAGCGCCCUACUAGGCCGCAACUGACACUCAGGGACGAAAGCUAGGGUAGCGAAUGGGAUUAGAUACCCCAGUAGUCAGAUGCAAGCGUUAUCCGGAAUUAUUGGGCGUAAAGCGUCCGCAGGUGGCAUUUCCAGUCUGCUGUCAAAGACCAAGGCUCAACCUUGGGCAGGCAGUGGAAACUGAAAAGCUAGAGUGCGGUAGGGGUAGGGGGAAUUCCCAGUGUAGCGGUGAAAUGCGUAGAGAUUGGGAAGAACACCGGUGGCGAAAGCGCCCUACUAGGCCGCAACUGACACUCAGGGACGAAAGCUAGGGUAGCGAAUGGGAU